CACGUAGGGGGCGAGCGUUGUCCGGAUUCAUUGGGCGUAAAGAGCUCGUAGGCGGCUCAGUAAGUCGGGUGUGAAACCCUCAGGCUCAACCUGGGGACGCCACUCGAUACUGCUGUGGCUAGAGUCCAGUAGGGGAGUGUGGAAUUCCCGGUGUAGCGGUGAAAUGCGCAGAUAUCAGGAGGAACACCGGUGGCGAAGGCGGAUCUCUGGGCCUUACCUGACGCUCAGGUGCGAAAGCUAGGGGAGCGAACAGG
rnacentral:rRNA from 1 species